CGUGCCCUGCGGUGCGCGUGAUGCGAAACACCCUUUGACCAACACUCGAAUUCAUGGGGCCGAGCUCAGAGGGGGAUGUCCGCUCGCCCGAGGAACUCAGUUCCGCUCAUCGGGAAGGGCAGAACCCGAAGGUAGGCACCCACCUGCUUUGUGCAGGAUCAAAGGCGUGUAGCACACGACACCGUGGGGUGCGU
rnacentral:other from 1 species